AACGAACGCUGGCGGCAGGCUUAACACAUGCAAGUCGAACGAGUGUAGCAAUACACUAGUGGCGCACGGGUGCGUAACGCGUGGGAACCUUCCUCGUAGUUCGGAAUAACUCAGGGAAACUUGGGCUAAUACCGAAUGCCUCCUUCGGGAGAAAGAUUUAUCGCUACGAGAUGGGCCCGCGUCAGAUUAGGUAGUUGGUAGGGUAAUGGCCUACCAAGCCGACGAUCUGUAGCUGGUCNGAGAGGAUGAUCAGCCACACUGGGACUGAGACACGGCCAGACUCCUACGGGAGGCAGCAGUGGGGAAUAUUGGACAA
rnacentral:rRNA from 1 species